rnacentral:rRNA from 1 species
AACGAACGCUGGCGGCAUGCUUAACACAUGCAAGUCGAACGAAACGUUCGUGUUUUGUUGCGCACGGGUGCGUAACGCGUGGGAACCUGCCCUUGGGUUCGGUAUCACUCCCUGUAAGGUGUGUUCAUACCGCUUAAUGUCAUCGCACAUAAGAUGUCUUGCUUCUGGGUGGGCCCGCGUUGGUUUCGCCAGUUGGUAGUGUAAUCGCCUGUCAACGCGACGUUCCAUGGCUGGUCUGAGAGGAUGAUUAAGCACACUGGGACUGAGACACAGCCGAGACUCCGACGGAAGGCAGCAGUAGAGAGUAUUGUACAAUGAGCGAAAGCCUAGUCCAGCAGUGCCGCGGAAGUGAGGAAUGCCUUAGGAUUGUAAAGCUCUUUUACCCGAGAUGAUAAUGACAGUACCGGGAGAAUAAGCACCGGCUAACUCCGUG